UACGAAGGGGGGCUAGCGUUGUUCGGAAUUACUGGGCGUAAAGCGUGCGCAGGCGGCUUCUCAAGUCAGGGGUGAAAGCCCAGAGCUCAACUCUGGAAUUGCCUUUGAGACUGAGUGGCUUGAGUACGAGAGAGGUGAGUGGAAUUCCCCAGUGUAGAGGUGAAAUUCGUAGAUAUUGGGGAAGAACACCGGUGGCGAAGGCGGCUCACUGGCUCGUAACUGACGCUCAUGCACGACAGCGUGGGGGAUCAAACAGG
rnacentral:rRNA from 1 species